rnacentral:rRNA from 1 species
UACGGAGGGUGCAAGCGUUAUCCGGAUUUACUGGGUUUAAAGGGUGUGUAGGCGGGCUUUUAAGUCAGUGGUGAAAUCUCCGGGCUCAACCCGGAAACUGCCAUUGAUACUAUUAGUCUUGAAUUUUGUUGAGGUAGGCGGAAUAAGUCAUGUAGCGGUGAAAUGCUUAGAUAUGACUUAGAACACCGAUUGCGAAGGCAGCUUGCUAAACAAAUAUUGACGCUGAGGCACGAAAGCGUGGGGAUCAAACAGG